rnacentral:rRNA from 1 species
ACAUGCAAGUCGAGGGGAAACGACAUCGAAAGCUUGCUUUUGAUGGGCGUCGACCGGCGCACGGGUGAGUAACGCGUAUCCAACCUGCCCACCACUUGGGGAUAACCUUGCGAAAGUAAGACUAAUACCCAAUGACGUCUCUAGAAGACAUCUGAAGGAGAUUAAAGAUUUAUCGGUGAUGGAUGGGGAUGCGUCUGAUUAGCUUGUUGGCGGGGUAACGGCCCACCAAGGCGACGAUCAGUAGGGGUUCUGAGAGGAAGGUCCCCCACAUUGGAACUGAGACACGGUCCAAACUCCUACGGGAGGCAGCAGUGAGGAAUAUUGGUCAAUGGACGAGAGUCUGAACCAGCCAAGUAGCGUGCAGGAUGACGGCCCUAUGGGUUGUAAACUGCUUUUAUAAGGGAAUAAAGUGAGAGUCGUGACUCUUUUUGCAUGUACCUUAUGAAUAAGGACCGGCUAAUUCCGUGCCAGCAGCCGCGGUAAUACGGAAGGUCCGGGCGUUAUCCGGAUUUAUUGGGUUUAAAGGGAGCGUAGGCCGGAGAUUAAGCGUGUUGUGAAAUGUAGAUGCUCAACAUCUGAACUGCAGCGCGAACUGGUUUCCUUGAGUACGCACAAAGUGGGCGGAAUUCGUGGUGUAGCGGUGAAAUGCUUAGAUAUCACGAAGAACUCCGAUUGCGAAGGCAGCUCACUGGAGCGCAACUGACGCUGAAGCUCGAAAGUGCGGGUAUCGAACAGGAUUAGAUACCC